rnacentral:rRNA from 1 species
UACGUAGGGGGCAAGCGUUGUCCGGAAUCAUUGGGCGUAAAGAGCGCGUAGGCGGUCCGGUAAGUCGGUUGUGGAAACUGGGGGCUCAACCCUCAGAGGCCGACCGAUACUGCUGGGCUAGAGUCCGGAAGAGGCGAGUGGAAUUCCUGGUGUAGCGGUGAAAUGCGCAGAUAUCAGGAAGAACACCCGUGGCGAAGGCGGCUCUCUGGGACGGUACUGACGCUGAGACGCGAAAGCGUGGGGAGCGAACAGG